GUUUUGGCAGGCUUAGACAAAAGACUGUCCUAAAUAUGAGGUUUUCACAUUGGUUUGUCCCAUUAUUCAGCUAACUAAAGACCCUGAUGACAGCCCUCCAGAGUAUGUACAAGAUUCUACUGCGUGACUGGGAACACAGAGGGAGAAAGGGAGAUGAACUAACAGUAAAGAAGGCGCGUUUGGUGAGAAAAAAGAAGACUAGGAGUAGAAGGAAGAAAAGAGGGGCUUCCCUUCCCCCAAAGAUAAUGCUGUACAAUAAGUUCUAUUAUCCCCGUUCAACGUGUGCGGAAGCUGAGGUCAAAGAGGCUGAGGGACUCUCCCAAGGCAGAUGGGGGCAUCAGGAUUGAAGUCCAAGUCUGUCUAACUCGGAAGUCUACACCGUACUGACAAGCCCUCAUAACGUUCACCGUUUAAAUCAAACAGAUCUUUUCCGCCUCCCCCACUUCACCGUGGUCUUGUAAGACAGCGCUUCUCAAACUUUACUAGGCAUACGGAUCAUCUGGAGAUCUUGCUAAAUGCAGAUUCUGAUUCAGCCAGUCAGAGAUGGGAACUGAGAUUCUGCAUUCCUGACAACCCCCAGCUGAGGCCGUUGCUGCUGGUGUGUGGAUCACAGCUAGAAUAGCAAGG
rnacentral:lncRNA from 1 species